AGUUGCCCCCGUGUCUUUAAAUUGGUUGCCAAGGGUUAUAAAAGUGUCAGAAAUGAAGGUUUUGUAGCAAUGAAGACAAAACCUAUCACAAUUCACAAAGGCAACCAAGGUUUUUCAAUUCUGGCCGGCAAUGUAGUCGUGAGAUCAUGAAAUAUAUGAUUGUGGAUGCUUAUAGAAUCGACGAAUAUUUCGUAUCCAAAAAAGUCAUAAUUUCAAAAUUAUAUCUCUGUUCUAUUAAUUUGUGUCGAUUGAUGUAUAAAUCUUCUUGAUAAAGGAAUGAAGACAUAUCCAAAUGUUUUUGGUCGAAAUAAUUGCAGAGGCUCAACACACGUGUCUCAGUCUAAUCUAAGGAUAUAUUUUUUUGAAGAAGCAUAUGCAGGAUAUAUUGUCAUCCAAAAUUGAGAAUAAUCCAGAUGAUUGUAAUUUGUACCAAUAAGUACUUUUGGAAGAUGACAGUGAGGUGAAUAUGAACAUGUUCAAACUGAAAUGCUUUUCUUAUAAUAUUGUUGCUUCAGUUGUGACAAGUAAGUAACCUUUAUACCAUAGUUUAUCACUGUUAGUAGACAUUAUAAAAACCAAAUUAUGAAAUUACAUUUUCUUAAAUAAGAUAAAUGGUCAAAUAUGUUACCAAUAUUAGAUGAUCUCACGAUGGUCGUUGGUAGAGCUUUCUGGUCGGAUGCCUUUGAGAACCAACACAACUAUUAUAACUUUUUUUUCUAAGCCAGGAGCAAGGACAUACAUCAAGGGGAAGCGACGACAUCCCAACUAAAUUGGCACCUCGAGAAACCUCCGUAUAAAUAAAUAAAUAAAUAAAAUGGAAAGACAGAUUUUAAAUAAUAAAUAAAAUGGAAAGAAAGAUUUUGUAGCAAUUAAGACAGGUCCAAAUGUGUUAGCUAAAAAAAUUUUGGUUUCUAGUUCAAAUAAUAUCAUCUAUUUUG